rnacentral:rRNA from 1 species
GACGAACGCUGGCGGCGUGCUUAACACAUGCAAGUCGAACGGUGAAGCGCCUUCCUUGUGGGUGGGUGGGGAGGAGUGGCGAACGGGUGAGUAACACGUGAGUAACCUGCCCCCUGCUUCUGGAUAACCGCAUGAAAGUGUGUCUAAUACGGGAUAUUCUGGGUCUGUCGCAUGAUGGGUCUGGGAAAGCUAUUGUGUCGGGGGUGGAUGGGCUGGGGUCCUGUCAGGUGGUUGGUGGGUUGAUGGUCUACCAGGGGUGUGGCGGUUAGACGGCUUGAGAGGGUGGCCGGUCAGAGUGGGAGUGAGGCACGGUCGGGACUCCUAUGCGAGGCAGCCGCGGGGAGGAGUGAACAAUGGGGGAAAGCCUGAUGCAGCGGCGACGCGUGAGGGAUGGCGGCGUUCGGGUUGUGAACGUCUUUCGCCAGUGAAGCAGGUCUGCCUCGUUUGUGGGUGGGUUGACGGUAGCUGGAUAAGAAGCGCCGGCUAACUACGUG